rnacentral:lncRNA from 1 species
UAAAGAAAAUAUGAGCAGUCCUUUGGAUUAUGAGUUGCAUAACCUCACACUGGAUUGGCCGAUCAAUAUAAUCUCGGUUCUUCUGAUAAAAAAAUCAUGGAAGAUCACCAGUUCAAUGGAAGAUCACCUGAUCAAUAUAAACGUGGAAGAUCUAUUGAGCAAUACAAUCGCGGUAAAUCGGCAGAUAGAAGUACAUCCAAGCUUAAUGCCUAUCGAUCAGUAACACCCCCACUAAGCUAGAGAUCAUAUAGUCCCUAAAGACAACGGUUAGCAUCUCCACGGACAAACUCCAGAAAUCCCGAAUAUUUCAGACAACGGUCACCUUCACCAGGAUACGGAGCAAAUCAAAGUGUAACCUCAACAAUGGAGCAAAGGGUCGGGCCAGUAGGACAACUCAGAU